rnacentral:rRNA from 1 species
GACGAACGCUGGCGGCGUGCCUAAUACAUGCAAGUCGAGCGAAUCUUGAGGUGCUUGCACCUCUUGGUUAGCGGCGGACGGGUGAGUAACACGUGGGCAACCUGCCUGUAAGACUGGGAUAACACCGGGAAACCGGUGCUAAUACCGGAUAAUCCUUUUCCUCUCAUGAGGAAAAGCUGAAAGUCGGUUUACGCUGACACUUACAGAUGGGCCCGCGGCGCAUUAGCUAGUUGGUGAGGUAACGGCUCACCAAGGCGACGAUGCGUAGCCGACCUGAGAGGGUGAUCGGCCACACUGGGACUGAGACACGGCCCAGACUCCUACGGGUGGCAG